UACGUAGGGUGCGAGCGUUGUCCGGAAUUACUGGGCGUAAAGAGCUCGUAGGUGGUUUGUCGCGUUGUUCGUGAAAUCCCACGGCUUAACUGUGGGCGUGCGGGCGAUACGGGCAGACUGGAGUACUGCAGGGGAGACUGGAAUUCCUGGUGUAGCGGUGGAAUGCGCAGAUAUCAGGAGGAACACCGGUGGCGAAGGCGGGUCUCUGGGCAGUAACUGACGCUGGAGGAGCGGAAAGCGUGGGGAGCGAACAGG
rnacentral:rRNA from 1 species